ACGAACGCUGGCGGCGUGCUUAACACAUGCAAGUCGCACGGAAAGGCCCUGCUUUUGUGGGGUGCUCGAGUGGCGAACGGGUGAGUAACACGUGAGUAACCUGCCCUUGACUUUGGGAUAACUUCAGGAAACUGGGGCUAAUACCGGAUAGGAGCUCCUGCUGCAUGGUGGGGGUUGGAAAGUUUCGGCGGUUGGGGAUGGACUCGAGGCUUAUCAGCUUGUUGGUGGGGUAGUGGCUUACCAAGGCUUUGACGGGUAGCCGGCCUGAGAGGGUGACCGGCCACAUUGGGACUGAGAUACGGCCCAGACUCCUACGGGAGGCAGCAGUGGGGAAUAUUGCACAAUGGGCGGAAGCCUGAUGCAGCAACGCCGCGUGCGGGAUGACGGCCUUCGGGUUGUAAACCGCUUUCGCCUGUGACGAAGCGUGAGUGACGGUAAUGGGUAAAGAAGCACCGGCUAACUACGUG
rnacentral:rRNA from 1 species